rnacentral:rRNA from 1 species
AUGCGCGUUGAUGGGAUACCUAAAUUUCCAUGGCGAACUGCUCAGUAACACAUGAUCAACUUACCCUAUAGAAGAAAUAACUUCGGGAAACUGGGGAUAAUGCUUCAUAAUUGAAUCUGCUUGGAAAGGUUUUUCAAUAAAAGAAAUUUUGAAAAUGGUCCUUUUUGCCAUAGGAUAGGAUCGCGCCCGAUUAUGGUUGUUGGUGAGGUAAUGGCUCACCAAACCUAUUAUCGAUAAGGGCCGUGAGAGCGGAAGCCCUGAGAUGGGUACUGAGACAAUGACCCAGGUCUUACGAGACGCAGCAGGCGCGAAACCUUCGCAAUGCACGAAAGUGAGAUGAGGUUACCCGGAGUGUUCCUUAGACUGGGGUAAGGGAAUAAUGGUCCCUUGUAAAAAAGAAAAGGCAAGGGUGGGGGCCACCCCCCCGGUAAAACCCACUCUUCAGUGGUCCGGAAUAAUAAUGGGCUUUAAGUGGUCCUAACCCGGUUAAUUAAUUUCUGGGUUAAUCCGGAAACUUAACUAACUUGUUGGUAAGAAUACUGCUAUUCUAAGGGGGGGGAAAGGUCCGAAGGAAUUCCGGGGUAAGGGUGAAAUCGUAAUAUCCUUGGAGGAACCACCAUGGCCAAAGGCUCCGAAUGGAACCCCGCCGAACGUGAAGGAACAAAACCAAGGGAACCAACCCGAAUAAAAUACCCGGUAGCCUGGGCGGUAAACGAUGCAGGCUAAGUUGUGGAUUGCUAAUGAGCGUAGUCAGUUCCGUAAGAAACCGAUAAGCGGGCCGCUGGGAGUACGGUCGCCAAGCUGAAACUUAAAGGAAUUGGCGGGGGAGCACCACACAGGGUGAGGCCUGCGUCAUGAUUCACGCCAAGACCGGAA